UCAAAAGCCCGUGUUGGUGAGGAUGAGA
rnacentral:piRNA from 1 species